rnacentral:rRNA from 1 species
GAAAAAAACGGUAGGUGAACCUGCGGAAGGAUCAUUG